rnacentral:rRNA from 1 species
UAGGCUGCAACUCGCCUACACGAAGUUGGAAUUGCUAGUAAUCGUGGAUCAGCAUGCCACGGCGAAUACGUUCCCGGGUCUUGUACACACCGCCCGUCACACCAUGGGAGCUGGUAACACCCGAAGUCAGUAGUCUAACCGCAAGGAGGACGCUGCCGAAGGUGGGAUUAGCGACUGGGGUGAAGUCGUAACAAGGUACC